GUUUCUUUUUCCAGUACCACCGACUGUCUCUCCAAAUGUCCAGACUGAAAUCAUCAUUAAAGCUGCUCUUCCAGAAGAAAAGAACACAAGGUAAAAUGAUCUAGGAACAAGUUGGCAAGGAGAAUGGGAAAGCUUUGUGUGUGUACCACUCUGCCAGAUGGCUGAAGACCUGCCAGUGACAGAGAGGCAGCAGGUGGAACCUGCACCCAAGGAAGCUCAAAGCAAAAUAAGCAAAGGACCUGAGCAGGACAGGCUGAACUGUUCUAGACAACAUGUGGUAACCCUAGAGGAAGAAGCACAGGAUUAUACAGGAAGGAAAAUGGGCUGAGUGGGCAAGAAGAGAAAGGAGAUAUCCUUUUCUCUAUUCACUAGGCCUCAGAGUAGAGGAAAGCCAGAUGACUGAAGCCUCUGGAAGCAAACAGAACGGCAUCUCUAGGAUCUACUGGAAGGCAGAAAAGCUGCAGUGAGCCUGUCAGAAGCCCAGUGUGUCCGCCUGGGCCCAUUGUCCAGAGCCAGGAGUACUUCCUUACCUUGACCUAGAGACUUGGGAGGCCCUAAAACAGAACAAGCUUUAAUUGCAUCAUGCC